AAUGGUCCCAAAGCUGUUAGACCCAGACGGCUUAGACGAGUCAACUGUAAACGUUACCUCAUAAGAUUUCUUCUCGUUUACUUCUUUAAAAUUCAAAACCGCCGGUUCAACCGAAAUCUUGAGUGCUGUUGUCUCCGACGUUACUUUAACCGAGUAUGACCCAGCUCCUCCAACGUUUGUGACCGUGCGUGUGUACUUGUACGUGUCGGAGCCGUCGACGUUAACGGCAAAAGACGGAUAGUUUAGAUCAGCGACGGAGUACGUUUUGCUUGGGUCGCAAGCGUAAUUGCCUCUCGAUAUGAUUCUGAUCAGCGACGAAUUGUAUUUCAAUGCGCAGAGGAAACCUAAAUAAUCGGCCGUCGUUAGAUCGUAGAUGAGUCCUGGAUUGACGGCAGUCGUCGGUGACACGUGUCCUGCACCGUGCCCGAACGGCGUUGAAGGUUUAACCGUCGCGAUGUCAAUGAUCGGUUGUUCGUCUUUGUAGGUACUGUAAGCAGUGGUCAUGAGAGCAGAUCGAAUCGCGGCCGGGCUCCAUUCGGGAUGCACAGACUUGAGAAGAGCCGCUAAACCGCUCACGUGAGGGCAAGACAUGGACGUUCCUGAGAUGAUGUUGAAUUCCACGCGGCGAGUAUCGGAAGCUAGUCCGGAAGGUCCCACAGCUCCGGUCCACGCGGCGAGGAUAUUGACUCCCGGAGCGAUCAAGUCCGGUUUGAGAAUGUUUGGCGUUAUCGGAUUAGGUCCUCGCGAGCUAAAUGCUGCAAGCACAGGAGACGGCCGGACGUUGACGACCGUUCCUUGGAACACAAUCGAAGCGGUGGGAUUCGGAUCGGUCAAGGCGUAGUGGCGGAUAAUGUCACUGGCUUUCUCUCCCACAGUAGUCGCUGGUAACAGAAAAGCAUUUGCCGUAAGCUCUUCUCCCUCGUAGGCCGUAUUUGCAAGAAUCAUUCCGAGUCCACCCGCAGCUUUCACUACCUCCCCUUUCUCAACCCUAUUCCCUCCUUUCUCGCACAUAACGAUCUUCCCCUUUACCUUCUCGGGAAUUAGUGUUCCGGGGAAACAAAAAUUUCCAUAAGUAGCAUUGUUACUAGCAUUCCCAGCGUAAACAAACGGCAACAAUUUAGAGGGAAGGGCGUCUCCUUUAAACAAGGAAACUCCAGUAUAUUUGUUCCCGUUGCCGAGAAUCACGAGCGCGGGGAAAUCACGAUCUAAUGUACCAGCACCAACCGUAGUAAUCCACGGAGCUACGUUCGCUACACUGAACGAGAAGGGGCCAUUAUUACCAGCAGAGCAGGAAACAAAGAUCCCGCUUUCCAUGGCCGCGAAUGCUCCAAUGGCAGUAGCAUCUGUAUAGCCUGUCCUUCUACCGCUGAGCGAUAUCGACAGAACGUUGACAUUUUCUUCAAUGGCUUUAUCCAUUCCAGCUAAAAUAUCUGAGCUGAAGCAACCAGUUUUCCAACAAACUUUGUAAGCAGCCACUCGAGCGCGAUAAGCAAUCCCACGGGCUGUUCCAUUAGCGAAGCCUAAAAGAUUAGCUCCUUCCACGACUGAUCCCGCUGCGGUUGACGCCGUGUGUGUUCCGUGACCUUCGUCAUCUCUAGGCGAUUUUGACUCUUUGGAUUCGUCCACUGGCCCAUUAAUUGCUUCGUAACCCCGAACGAAGAAUCUAGCUCCGAUUAGUUUGCGGUUACAGAGGGACGUGGUGAAUCUAGUCCCAGCGUCGCAGCCGCCUUUCCAUGUAGGAGGAAUGGGGCCGUAUCCUUUGUCGGAGAAGCUUUUGCUCUCUGGCCAAACACCGGUGUCGAGAACUCCAACGACGACGUCGCUAGAUGGACCGGUUUCAGGGAAUAGGCCUGCGUUGUGUACGUCGAGCCCGAGGAACAGUGGAGUACGAGUGGUGUGUAACUCGUACCGCUGCUCUGGUUGAACCGAGAUGACACCGGGUUGGGUCAUCAGCGAGUCGGCUUCUUCAGGAGUAAGCCGAGUGGCGAAUCCAUGAAUUGCGUUGUUGUAAGUGUAGAGCAUUUCAGCAGAUUCUGAGACUGAGCGGAGUGAGGAAUCGUACCAGAGAGAGUGGUGGUCGAAGCUCGAGGGCAUCUGAGAUUUAGCCAUGUGAACGAUGUAAGUAGCUUGUUGAGCUCCAUCGGAGACGUGGAAGGAACUCAGAUAGAGUAAAACGAUGAAGAAAAAAGAAGCAGUAGAUGAGAGAAACGAAGAAGACAUGUUUUGUGAGUUGUGUGGAAAAUGUGAAGAUGUGCGAGAGUUUAUAUAGUCGAGAAAGAGAGUGAGGAGAUACUAUUGUUACCCAGUAACUCGGUUCACUGGCCAUAGGCCAAGAAUUUCGGGUUUAAAUACCGAUAUUUUAGCAUUAAAUCCAAUUGUUUUGUGUCCACUAUUCUGCUUCGAAAGUGAUCGCAUUUGUUUUUAUCUUUUUGAUUUGUCUCUAACUCUAAUUUUAUUUUCUUCUUAAUUUUAAUCUUUGAAGACUUCCGUGCACAAAGACAAAAAACCAAGACUUUUGUUCCCAUAAUUUCACCUAUGCUAAACAUGAAAUAAUAUAGAGAAAAAGACAAAAAUAGCACUAAAUCAAGUUUUUGUUUACAAACUAGCACUCAAGCUCAAAAGUCACAAAAAUAGCACUUAAUGUUUUAUCAAAAGUCACAAAUUUAGGGUUUAGAGUUAAAGGGUGGGGUUUAGGAUUUAGGGUUUAGGGUUUAGGGUUUAGAGUUUAGGGUUUAAGGUUUAAAUUUUUAAGGUUUAGGGUUUAGGGUUUAGAGUUUAGGGUUUAGGGUUUAAAGUUUAAGGUUUAGGGUUUAGGGUUUAGAGUUUAGGGUUUAGGGUUUAGAGUUGAGAAAUGAGGUUUUGGGUUUAAGAUUUCAAAUUUUGAAAAAUAAAAAAAUUAAAAUUUUCAAAGGAUAAACUUAAAAAGGUGCUAUUUUGGUCAUUUUAGUUUUUGAGUGCUAUUUUUGUGAUAUAAACUUAGAAAAGUGCUAUUUUGGAGAUUUGCCCAAUAAUAUAUCCGUAUAGUAUUAUCUCGGGGUUAUUAUUGGUUUAUUAUCUUGAGAUUUUAUGUUUCUGUUUAGUAUUAACGUCUUAAACUAUAAUAUUUUCUCUAACUUGUUUAGUAUAACGUCUUUGAAGAUUAUUCGAUGAUGUAGUAGUCAUGUAAAAUCCAAUUUUCUUUUUAAGUAUAUCUUGUUUGUAUGUUUACAUUAAUGAUUUCCACAUGCACAUUUGGAUUUCUCUCUAAAUUUAUUUUUGUAUUUUUCGUGAAUUUUAAGGUUUCCAGACUUCUCUUCAUCGAAGACAAAAAAUAAAGACUUUUCUUCACAUAAGUUUACCUAUGUUCAACGUCCAAUUACACUAUUUGCAUAUACUUGUAUAAUCUUGAGAUUAUUAUUGUUUCAUUGUAUUGAGAUUCUCUAUUUACGUUUAGUAUCAACCUCUUUAACUCUGAUAUUUACUGUGGCUUGUUUGAAAUUAUAAAGAUGGUUUAUGCAGUUGAGACUUUUUACAACUUGCAACAAAAGAAAGUUUAACUGGAUCUCAUUUUCUCCCUCUGAACUAAACUACUACUAGGAUAAGAUCCGCGCCUUGCGCGGGAUUAAGUUAUUAUUUUUAUUAUAUUUUGGAGAAUGAAACAAUAGUUUGGCUUCAUUUGGAUUAGGGGUGUUCAAUCCGGAUAUUGGGUUGGUUUCGGUUCGGUUCGGUUUUUUUUUGUAUUUCGGUUAGUAAAAUAUAACUAUUAUUCUAAAUCCAUAUUUACUUUGACUUUAGUCUUUCACAUACUUUUGAAAGAUUUCAACUGGACGACUAAAUUGAUCAGCUAAUCUUGUUGCUUUAAAUCAUUAGUAUUUAUAUAUAUGAGUGAGGAGAAAUUACUAUUACACUCUUGUAUCCAAUAUUCUGCUUUGAAAGUGAUCACUUUUGUUUUUCUUUUUGAUUUGUCUCUAAAAUUUAUUUUGUUUUUUAGGUAAAUUUUAAUCUUUGUAGACUUCUGUUCAUCAAGACAAAAUAAAGACUUUUGUUUACAUGAUUUUAGCUCUGGCCAACAUGAAAUAAUAAUAUAUCCAGUUUCACUAAUUACUAUAAUUAACCACAUUGGAUAUGGUCGAAUGGUAUGACAGACUAGGCAAAAUGCUAACCACUCCAGAUUCAAAACUACCAGUAUAGAGUAACCGCACUAGUCUAUUAACAAGAACAAAUUACUAUACUUUGGUAUUAUCUCGAGACGAUUACUGAUUUAUUUUCUUGAGAUUAUAUGUUUUUGUUCAGUAUUAACCUCUUUAAUUCUGAUAUUUACUGUGACUCAUCUGAGAUGAUAAAGAUUGGUUAUAGUUUUGAUAAAAUCAUCAUGCCAUGAGGGAUUCAGAAAACCUUUAUGAUGUUCAAAUAGCAUUAACACUAAUAAGUGAAUAUAGCCUUUUAAUAUUUAACUAGGUGUUUGCCCGCAAUUUUACGGGUAAUUAUAUUAUAUGAAGAAAUAUAUAUUAAGUUUACAUUGUUAUGAUUUUUGAAUAAUAAUUAAAAUUUUAGAAUUUUAAUUUUUAAUUUCAAAUAGUUGGAUAUUCAAAAAAUUUAGUAUAUAUUUUUAGAAGAUCAUUGAGAUUUAAAAUAGUUCAACAACGUAAACCUUAGUCAUUACAAAUAUUUCUCUUAUAGAAAAGCAAUAUUAUAAUUAAUUCAGAUAAUUGGUUGUAGAAUUACUUUAUAUUUUAUUUUAAAAUGUGAAAAAACCGGGCAUAUUCUAGCUUUCAAAAAAUAAAAAUAAAAAGAGUUUUUUUUUUGUGUAGGACCAAUACAAUGAUCGGAUGCUUUUAUCAUGAAGAUAUUUUGUAAAUAUUUUUGUGUGGACUUUAGAAACCAUAAAAAGUUCUAAUAAUUUUUUACCUACAUAUAUAAUUAUUUUAUAUAAGAAUAUAUAACCAUAAAAAUUUCAAUAAAAAAAAGUUAAAGUAUUUUAUUUAAUUAUAUAUAAAUAAUUGAUAAAGAGAAAGAAAUUGAUAAAAAAAUAUAUAUUAUUUCUCCAAUUCUACAAUUAAUUACCAUAAAUCAUUAUUUGUAAUAUUACAUGUCUUAUCUGGUAAUUUAUAUUAAUUAUUUCUAUAGUUACCUUUUAUUUUUAGAUCUGAUUAAAAUAAAUAACUAAUAAACGUCAACAACCAAUCAAAUUAUAACUUUUUAAAAAAACUUAACCUAUUAACAAUAUAUACAAAAAAAAUCACUUAAGUGACUUCUCAAUUAAUAUAUAAUAUGAUUUAUCUCUUUAAAACCAAGGGUAAAUUUGGUUAAUGUUUACAUGAAAACAUGUAUUAGGAAAAUGGUAAUCUAAGUAAUUUUUCUCAUAAUUUUGUCAAAUUACAAAUCACACUUUCUCAUUCAUUUUUUAUUUAGUGUUUAACAUAAAACUUCAAUGGGUUAAACAAACCAUUUCUUCCUUUAAAACACACCCAUUUUAAUUAAAUUUGAUUAAUUAAUAAGAAAAAAAAUAAUUUUUAAAUUUUUAAAUAACAAAAUGUUGUUAUUUUAGGCAUAUAUACUUAAUAUUAAUGUGAGAUCCAAUAUUAUAUCAAAAUAAAAUAUUUUUAUCUGUAUAAAACUAAUUUUAUUAUUGUACAUUUUAAAAGUUAUUAUACCGCAAAAUAUAUAUCUCAUUAUUUUUAAAUAAUUUAUCUUACUUGCAAUUUACAUUAUAUUUUCUAUCUUUGACUUUAACAAUUGUAGAACAUGUCAUUUUAUUAAUCUUUCUUACUCAAUUUAUCACAAUGUUUUAAAAACACAUAAAACUAAUUAAUUCACAUUUAUAGUAACACAAAAAAUACAUGCAUCUCGACAGACAAAAAAAUUAAAUACAUAAGAAUAUUUUCUUUUUCCGUCAAAAAGCCGUUCUAUUACUCAGACUUGAGGUGGUCUGGGUAACCAGACCGGAAUAGAAAUACACAACAUACAUAAGAUUAUAAAAGAACCAAGAACACAACAAACAUAUUUUAUUAUUCUUCCCUCCUGUUUUUAUGUCUCCUUUAUUUUUUUUACUAUUCAAAACAAACAUGCUAAUUUUAUUAUAAUCAAAGCUAUAUGAAUUAUUUUAAUAGAGUAUUAACUCUAUGAAAAGCAUGUGAAAAAUACUUUGAUUAAUUUAAUUUUAAAUGACUUACUAUAUCAUAAUUUUACAUGAAUUACCAUAUAAUAUAAUUUUAAGUGACUUACCAUAUAAUAAUUUUAAUUCACUUGUUUAUAUUAAAAGAUGAAUUAAAUAAUAUUUCUUGAUUAAUAUAAUUUUAGAUGACUUACCAUAUAAUUUUUAUGUUUUAAUCAUUUCUAAAAGUGAUAACUUAUCUAUGAUCAUUGGAAAAUGAUGAGAAUUUUUUAAAAUUAUAUAUUUGACUAUUUUGCAUUCAUUUGAAACAUUUUAGAAUAUAUAUAUAUAGUAAAUGAGUGAAUUUAAUUAAUAUUAUUAGGUUUACGUUAAUUAGUUUUCUGGAAUCUAUGAUUUAUUGUAUUCACUACUAAUAUAAAUAUAUUUAAAACCAUUUUUGUAAUUGUUUCUGUAGUAUCAUAUGUAUUUAAAUGUACAUUAUCAAUUUAUAUAAUUUAAUCUAUGAUAUUUAAUUAUUUCUAUAAAUAAAUUAUAUUAAUUCAUCGAUAUUUAAGAUGUUUAAUUGUAUAUUUGGAAACAUAUAUUAGAUUAGGUAAUUCUAGGAUUAGUUUUCUUUUAAAAAUUUUAAUUAAAUAAAUAAAAAAUUAAAAACCACCAACCAAUCAAAUUAUAACAAUUAAUUGGAAAACUCUCAUAUGAGCGACACGUCAGCAGAAAUCACUUAAGUGACUUCUCAAUUAAUAUAUAAGGGACUCUAGAAGAUUAUUUGGUGGUGUAGUUGUGUAAAAUUCAGUUUCCUUUUAAGCAUAUUUUUUGUAUGUUAGAUUGGUUUUCCACACACAUUUUGAUUUUUCUCUAAUAUUUUGGCUUUUCCCGUAAAUUUUAAGGUUUUCAAGACUUUUCUUCAAAGAGGACAAAACUUAAAGACUUCUGUUCACAUAAGUUGACCUAUGUUCAACAUGAAAUAAUAUUAUCCAAUUACACUGAUUACUAUAUUUUAGUAUUAGCUCGAGAUUAUUACUGUUUUAUUAUUUUGAGAUUCUCUGUUUUUAUUUAGUAUUAACAUCUUUUAACUAUGAUACUGACUGUAACUUGUUUUAUACUAUAAAGGUUUAUAUCUUACAAUAUUAAAAGUUGUAAAUCCUCAAUAGAGAGAGUGUCCACAUCACCUAAAAAAUCCGCCAAUGAGAAAGUGUUGUUUUGCCACGUCAAACCCGUUCCUUAAAAAAUUGCAUUAAAACAUUUCGAUUGAACCCAUUAACCUAAUUUCAUCGCAAGCCGUCUCUUCCGCUUCGUCUUCAUCGUUACAGCUUUCUGCAUUUUCUUCUGUUUCUCCACUUUUGAUCAUUCAUUCCACUUCUUUAAUUCUAUCUGCGUGAGCAAUGAUAUCCUUUCAAAUUCCUCUCUUUCUCCAACUACAUAAACUCAUCUGUCUGUUGAAGUUUUUUACCGAACCAAAUUCACUACAAGAAUUUACUUAAAUAGCUACUGAUUAUUUUGUAGCUAUCACAUACAAUCUAUAGCUAAAAUCAGUUUAGCUACAGAUGGCAACAAAUUAAAUCCCUGGCCUCAGCUCCCACGCUAAACAAAAUCUCUAGCCAUUUUGUAGCCAUUUAGCAAUGAAUUAGCAAGAGCUUUUUCUGUAGCCACCAGCAACAACAUUGCUACAACUUAUUUUAUUGCUAACUAGUGACAAGUAUAGCUACAAAUAUUUUGUAGCCACAUUAUAAUUUUAAAACUUUAAUUGAAAUUUAAAUAUAAUUAUUUAUUUAAAAUUAUAGUUAAUUCUCAAAAUGAAAAAGUGUCAAUUUUAAUUUUCGAACAUAAUCCAACAAAAAGUAACUUGUUUGAUACCAAAAUGUUAACAUUGUAAAACCAAAUACAAAAAGAUCUAAAACUAAUGAAAUUUUUGUUGAAAACCCAGCUUCUCCAAAGCUUUAAAUUGGUCAUCUUGUCCGUCAUAUGGUGUUCCGUUAGAAAUCAUAGAGCUGUAGUUUAGAAGAACAAAAAUUCACUAAGGGAUAAAAUCUUUAGGAGAAUUAAAAGGAAACUUAACAAGGUCAAUGAGGAUUUACCUCUGAAAAAAUCAAUGCAAAAUGUAUGUAUAUGGCAGGAUAGCCUCCGUUCCUGUUGGUGCUGCAAAAACAACAUAAAGGAUUUAACUACUUGAAGCACAGAACAGGCGUCAAGAUGUAACUUUCACAAAAAAAAAAUCAUGAACAAAACACUUGCUGUGCAGAUAAAAUCUUACCAUCCAAAAGCUGUACGACUUGUGUGUAGCACGAGAGUAAGGACCGAGAGGACUGUGUUACCAAAGAUCUCAACAUCUUUCAUAAUCUCCCUAAAGCUCGGGUCAGGAUCAACGUCGCAGUCCGAAUCGAAGCCUGCGAUUAGAAAACAAACACAGACUUCAACAAACUUAAAUGUGAAAUCAAACACGGCGAAUCUGGUGUUUGAAGAAAUCUGAGUUCCUUCUAAGGCAGACAGACAUCAGAAAUCAAGCACGGAACUGGUACCUGAAACUAAGCUGAGGAACUUCUCUUCUUGAAUGAGGGCGGUUAACUCGAAAUCUAGAAACACAUAUAGAGAGAGCUGCAAUCUUCAGGAGAAUAAACGUCGACAAGUCGAUUUAAGAGAGCAAUAACAUAUGGUUUGCUUCCCCCUGUGGGAAGGACGAAGCUGAAGUAUCUUUCUUUGCUCGCUUUGAAUUUGUCUCCCUUCACUCGGCCGCGUACUUCCCGAUGAGAACCCUAAAUCGAUUCGUCAUAAAACACUUCCACUACACAAAUCUAAACAAUAUAAUUUCACAGUAAAUAAGGAAGAGGCUGAAUGAAGAAAUUAACCCAACUCAAUUACGAUUUGUAAACACCCACUACCCAAAUCCGAAUUACAAAAUUAAAGAAGAAUCUGUCUUGAAGCUAUUAGAAAACGAAAAGAUAAAUAUUGAAAAAGGCUGUGUAUAUCAUCACCGUGAAGGGGAAAAGAGACUUGGAGAGAGACUGGGAAAGAUGGAGAACAAGAAUUAAAGUUAUAAUCAGAAAAUUUUGGCGGAGAUUUGGGAAAAUAUUUUUUUUUGGGGGGGGGGGGAUACUGAAAGUUUUUGGAAAAUAUUUCGCGGCCAUGAAAUAAAUCUGGCGGCUGGCGCUGAUUUGUAAUUUUUUUUUGGUAAGUGACGAAAUGAGAUAAAUUAUAUACUCAUUCUAAUAAAUACUUUCUAAAUUAUAUCGAUGCCUGCUAAAAUCAAAUAUGCAACUAGUGUUAUUAUAUUUUAAUAACUAUAAUAAACAUCUAAAUUCCCAAUAUACAACUAUGGAUAUUAUGUUCAUGGUUUAGGGUAAACAUAUUUAGGGUUUAUUGUUUAGGGUAUAGAUUUUUAGGGUUUUCUUUUCAAAAAAAUGAAGAUUUACAGGGUUUAGAGUUUACUAAGCAGAUUUUAUGGUUUAUGGUGUAAGAUGUAAGGUUUAAGUUUAAGAUUAGGUUCAAUGUUUACAUUUUUUUCAAUUCGAUACAUAAAAAUAUUACAUAAAUGUGAUUUUUACACCCUCAAUUAAACACUUUUACAAAAAAUUGUUUGUCUCAGUCUCUAUAAUCUAUAUGAUCACUUAUCACUAAAUACAUAAAUCUCAGAUCAAAAUUGUCUAAAUGUGUAGUGGAAUACAUUUCUUUAAUCGAAUUUUAAAAUACUGGUGAUACUAUCUAUCAUAUCAUAUGAUGCCAAAGUAUUCACAAUCAUUUGUUUGUUAAAAUUGCUUUUGCGAUAACUUAUUCUUUAGCUAAUCAGUAGCAAGUUAGUUAUGGAAUAACUACAAAUCACAGUUGUAGCUACUUAGCUAGAGAUCGCAACAGAUUUAGCUAUAAAUUUAUAAAUUUCUACUUUUGUUGCUAUCUGUUGCUAUUUACGUAGCUAAUGAAUAUGGCUACGGAAUUGUCGUCGCUCGUCCUUAGCUAUAUUAAACAAUUCUUGUAGUGAUUCUACAACCUCCAUUCACCAAAAACAAUCGAUGGGCAUGAAAUUGGUUCAAACCUCCGGCAAGUCUCCGGUUGCUUUAUAUGUCAACGACGUUGGAUAAUGGGAGUCGUAUCAAUCUCAACGGGUCCAUCGGCAUUGGAAUUAUACUUCCGUUUGAUCCAUUUCUGGGAGGUCGAAAACGGUUCGAAAGGUGGAGCUCUUAUUGGCUUAGAGAUGCUCAUCAUCGACGAACAGGUCUGAGUGUUUUCUUCCACAAUUUCAUUUUAAUUUGAUAGUUACAGUAAAAAUUAUCAUAGUUAUGCAGAUUACUUGACAUAAUCGUAUACCUUCUCAAAUAUAAUUUCAGGUUUGUUUAAUAAACGUAUAAAUGAUUUUUAUACCAAAACUAUAAAGCCCAAAUUUUUACUAUGCUGAUAUAAGUGAAAAAAAAUCAAUGAAAAAACCCAAUGAAGCGAAAAUGCCGAAUGAAAAAAUUGGUUGUAAUAGAUGCUCAAUAUAAAAGAAAAACUUAUAUUAUUAUUAAUUUUGAGUAACGGGUCUGACGUUUUUGUUUUCGGACAGGCCACUCUGAUCCAAGCGUUCAUCUCAUCACAUCGUGCUCCAUGGUACGAGCUUUGAGGAAUUUCUACGCAACGAAAAGCAAAGAGCUAUGCAACGAAGGCCUGCCGAGUUGCUGAUCACCUUUUAGCAAUAUGUUUCAAAUACAGACCUGUUUUAAUCGGUCUAGACCACAUGUGCCUACCUAUGGACGAUGACCGGUUCAGAUUCCACGUUCAUGAGGAUUUGAAUCCAACUGUGGACUAAGGGGAUACCACUAUGGUAAGGUCUGAAACGAUCUGCAGCUUUAUUCUUUAUCUGAAUUGUUAUUUCUUAUCUUUUGUUUACUUGGUUAUCUUUGCUUAUCUGUGUAAUUCUUAUAGUUAGCUGAUAAAUUUAUUCUAACAAUGGUGUAGAUGUUGUUGGCCACAUGAAGCUAUUGAAUGGAGAAUUGCUCAUUCACCGUACUGUCCUUGACGAAGUGGAAUAGCGAACACAAGGUGUGUUCUAAUUCACUUACAAACUAAGUAGUAAGCUGUCUACAUGUAUUUAAAUAAUGUCUUCUCUCUAUUGAAUAGUUAAGUGUCUAGCUAUCAAAUGAACAUAAUCAACAUUUUCAAAGGGCCUGUUAUGAAACUGUAUCCCUGGGACCAGGCAGCAACUGUGUUCUACAAAUUCACGGCCAGUGCCGACAAAUCCUGUCAUCCUUUUAGUGGCGACUGUGAAUCCAAAACGUAUCGGAGGAAAAUAUUUUUUCAGUUUGCUUAACCAGCUCAAUGCUUCUCUUAACAUUAAGGCUCCGACUGGUGACCUUUUCGGGAACACGAGGAACGAAUAGGAAAGGAACGUAUAGGAAUAAAAUUGCAGGAAUGAAAAAUAAUGUUUGUUCCUUAUCAAAUUUAACAAGGAAUGUUUUUGUUCUAUAUUUCUCUACAAAAAAGGAAUUGGGAGGAACAAGAAGGAAAAACUAUUCCUUGUGAAUGGUGAUUUUUUUUGGGAAUGAUAAGGAAUUCAGUGUUCCCUUUCGUUCCUUGGUCACCAUUCAAAGCCUUGUUUCAUAAUUUAUUUGAAAUAAUUUGUCCAUCUGAUUCCACGUUUUGAUGUCUGACCCAUAAAAAACAGAAACCCUUGCCUUCAGCUCAAUGUCAUCAUCACGUUUUUUCAUCUACAAAGAUUCCAACCCACAAUCGACUACUUCAGUUGUCAGUAUUUAAUGAGGCAACAUGUUCGUAUCAUAUUCGUUUGUAUUUGGUAUGACCACAAGUACAUGUUCAGCCAACGUUAGAACCCUUUGUGGUUUGCAUAUUGUGUCAGGUUGAAUUCUAACCCAGAGUUAGCUAAGAAAGUGAAUGCAUAUGAGGGGACUAAAUCUGAGGCAAUGACAAUUGGAAAAAUAUUUGCUUAUAUCAAGCAAGGAUCAGCCAAGGUAAAAUAAAAUAUGUAUAUAGCCACAAAAACCAAAUAACUUAACAAUAUAAAUCCCUGUGUUUUUGACAAAUGCAGGAGGCUUUUUUGAGUGCAUUGUCUCAAUUGAUGAUGUUUAACCAUGAUUCUUCUUGGUAUUAUAUCGAUCGCAGUGAUUGCAAAACAGAGGCCAACAGAAUGCCUUCUUCGUUUGUGUGCUCUAAAUGCGGCAAUGAAAACGUAACCGGGGUCACAAAGUAAUGAACUUAAUGCUCAGUAUUCAAUAAAUCGUUGGCUUGGAUUGCUAUUUGUUUUCUCUUAUGCACUGGUAUCUUGAUAAUUAGAUCCCUGUCUACGACAAUAACGACCAGGAUGUGUUCGUUUUACUUGGUGAUGCAGGCCGUGAGCUAACUGGAAAGCAUGCCUUUGGAUUGGUUGAUAAAUACUUUGAGGUAGCUUGCCAUUACAUUAGUCAUCCUUCCCAACUCAUUAAACCUAACUAAACUUUUUUCAAAAUGUUAGGCUAAUGGUGAUCUUGGUCCUCACGAUGAGAUGCAUGCCUGUCCCACAAACUUUGAUCGACACCAUUGGUCAAACACAUAGGUUCAAGGUGAAAGUUUUGAAUACAAAGGAAGGACUCGGGCAAUAACAGUUAUGAAGGUUGUCUCUCCCGCAGUCCAGCAACCUUUAACAGCCUCAGUUGGAAUCCCACUUGCCACCAAUUUUAAAGUGCCUCUAUUUUCUGCAAGUGAUUAGGGUCCGUCCUUCAAAAACUGGAGACCUAGCUGAUGAAGAAAACUCCAGUACAAGUACUGUGACGAAGCACAGAGAGGAAAACGUGCUAAAUUUGAGUAAUAGAGCAUUAACUAAUAUCUUAUAAAAUGCACUCAUGCGUAGGAGUGUAACUUAUCUUUUCAUUUUAAUUCUGAGCUUUUGCUAAGUUUUUUUAUAUAUAUAUUUAAGUAUGGCUUUUCAUUAAAUAUUUGCAAGCAGAUGACUCAUUUGGUAUUUCUUAAUGUUACAACUUCGUAUUAUCUGACGAAUGUAUGCUAUCAAAAGACCCAUUAUUUCUCUGUGUAUCUGAAUCAUUUUACAAAGUUCUUCUCUAUCUAUACUAUUAAAGCAGAAUCUCUACUGGGAUUAUGUAUCAAUAUCAGAGAAAUAAUGUGUAGCAUUAAUAUAAAUAUUUUAAACAAAAUGUGAAAAAUAUAUUAGAAAUAUAACGUCAAAUAUACAUAUGUUUGGUAAUCUUCGGAUAUCCAUUCAGGUUUGGAUAUCCAACCUCUUCUAAUUCCAUACCCGUUCCAGUAUUUUGUUACUUUGGGCUUUGUUAUUUCUUUGUAUUAUUGACAAUUAGUUUUUCAAAUAGUUGAUAACUAAUCCCAAAAGAUUAUAUAUUACUGCCAAAAACAGUGUUUAGUGGAAGAGUAUCAUAUCUAAAGUAUCCAAACAAAUGAGAAAUCGCUUAAACUAUCACAUUCUUAAUAUCAUUUUUCAUGUUUACUUUAACUACAUUUAUCUUUAGUUUUAAAGAAGUAAAUACGUACUUAUAUCCUUAGGGUUAACUAAUAUAAACUUAGGGUUUAUAUUUGAGGGGCGGGAUUUUGGAGUGUAUAGUUUAGGAUUUUUAAAAAUAAAUAAAAUUUUAAAAAUAGUUUCAAAAAGAUUUUUCGAAUUGCAACAUAAAAUUUUGGAAAAAAUCGAAAGUUUUAUAAAGAUUUUGAAUUUAAAAACGUAUAAUUCGAAAACUAUAUAAAUUUUUAAUUAUUAUUUAAAUGAUUAUUUAUAUUUAUAUAACUAUAAAGUAAUGAUAGAAUAGUAUUUUGGACUUUAAUUGAAAUUUCAUACUUUACGUAUUUGUGAAAAUAUCCAUUUAAUAAAGGUAAACAUAAAUAAUAGUUUUCUAAAAAAAUAUAAAUAAUAGUACCAGAAUGAAAUAAAACACAACUCUCCCAAAAACAUAGGACUGAUUCUUUAUUUUUAAUUUUGGGAAAUGAGGCAUACUAACCAUACAAAAAAACAUAAAUUCACUGACUAACCAAAAUCUCUCCCUCUCUCCUACUUUCUCUUCCUAUCUCUCUCUUACUUCUCUCUACAAAUCUGAUUUCUAAUUUUUUUGGUUAUUUGGCAAAUAAGCCAUUUAAUUUUAUUCUGUAAAUUCAGGAUAUUAUUCAUCGCCAAACAAAAAUUAAGUAAAUUAUCUUUGUGUAGCACGGAGAAACACUCUAGUGUUUGAUAAAAACAACUAAGGCUAAGUGAAUAUAGCCUUUUAAUUCAUAUCUCUAGCUAGAUGAUUAUUUGGUUUUGUACUUAUGUUAUGUAAUGCACUGGAGGUGCUCUUAGACUCAUGCUUACUAUUCUGCUUUGAAAGUGAUCAUUAUUGCUUUUCGUUUUGAUUUGUCUCUAAAUUUAUUUUUGUAUUUUUCGUAAAUUUUAAUGUGAGUAGACUUCUGUUCAAAGACAAAAAAAUGAAGACUUCUGUUCAGAGAAGUUUACCUAUGUUCAACAUCAAAUAAUAUAUCCAGUUACACUGAUUAUUAUACUGGAUAUAUUGGCUGCGACUUGUUUAAGAGUUAAGACCAUAAAGAUAGUUUAAAGGUGACUGUGAACAUAAGUUUACGUACUUGUGUUCAUUUUGAUAUUGACUGUGACUUGUUUGAGACUAUAAAAAUGGUUUAAUAGGUUUGAUAAAAACCAUUAAGACAAAGUUAAUAUUAGACGAUUUAAUUGGAUCUCAUUUUCUCCUUUGAACGAAAAUACUAGUUGGAAUCUAGCCAGAACAGUUUUACAUUAUAACAAUUUGAAAUUAGAUUUGAAGUGUGAGAGCAUUCUAAAGGGAAAAACAUCAAUAAGCUUUACUCAUCGCUUUGUUUCCCCGAAUUUUUCUUUGAAAUAUAGUGUGUUCUAAUUCUUACACGAAUUUUAUUAAUUACUUAAAGAAAUUUAUAUCUUCACAAAUAGACUUUCCUUCUCUCUCCUCCAAUAUUCUUCUCUCGAGCCCCCAAACCUCCGUUUCGCCUUGCUCCGGUGUCGGUGGUGAGAGUACCGCCGCCGGAGGCGCUCCUCCUUACCCUUCCUCUUUUCCUCUUUGCCAUUGUCUCGCCUUUCACCUUUUCUCUUCGAUAUGUCUCUGGCUCUGGGCGUGUGAAGUUCUCCGGCGUCUCCUCCAGCUCGGGAUGGUGUAGAUCCGUGGUCCCUUCCUCCGUUUUGGUGUCAAGGCGAGUCGAGAGUGGUGACUAUUGAGUCAAUGGUCGGUUUUUAGGGUUCGGUGGGUACGAUUGAUUUUUCCCUUCGUCGAUCUACUCGAAAAUCGAGGCACGGCGACAUGGUUCGACCUCUCUCUUCGCAGAUCCGGUGGAUCGACUGGCCGCAUGGCUUGUCUCUGGUUCUUGUUGCUCGAGUUGGUUGGUUUGUUUGGUUGGAGUGGAUCUCAGCCUUGUGAUCUCGGGUUUGCUCUCUCCUUCCGGCUCCAUCAGUUUAGGCUCUGGUGGUCUUCUUUCCAUUGCUGCUUCGGUGUUGCUGCUUGUCACUGCUGUGGCUCUGCUCUGGUCUUCGUCGUCCUGUUUUCUGGCAUUGUUUUUCCUAAUCCUCGGAGUGACGGUGACGGCUGUCUCUCCUUGGUGGGCGUCUUCUCCUUCUUCGUUGAUCCACAGUCUCUUGUCAACGAUUCUGUGCUCAGCUUUGCUUUGUGAAACCGCGCUUUGGUUCUCAAAGGCGGCAGUGGCUUAGAGACUAGCUUGUUGGGUCUGUUGCUUUCUCUUUGUUGGCUCCACUGUUUUGGAGUUGCUGAAUCCCAGUGCCACCGAUGUGGUCAUUUGGCAACUGUUGGUAGCAGCUCUCUAUUGUCCUUUGUGAAGGUUGAUGUGUCCUUAGGUCUCUCAAUGCAGCAGCGUUUUUGGACCCGCUUUUUGUUCAUAUAUCGAGUAUUCUCGGUUCAGCUUUGCAGACUUUGGGGAUCUCUUGGUUUUGGUUUUGCUUACCGCUUUGCUUAGCUUUUGGAGGAGGUAGUAAGGUUUCAGAGUGGAGAUGCGGCUUGUCUUUGUGAGUGAGCUCCUGCUAUUAAGCUCCUUUUGAUCUGGCUUCGGAGGUGGAGUUGCGGCGGGCUCCUGCUAUUAAGCUGAUAGUUAGUAUUUGGGAGUGGAGAUGCGGCUCGAUUUCGCGAGUGAGCUCCUGCUAUUAAGCUCUGUUAGUUUGUGUUGUCUUGGUGUUUUUGUCCCCGAAAGGAACUUCGCUAUUGCUGCCAGAUGAAACAACUUCCUUUUGCCUUCUUUGCGGUUUGGCAUCUCUUUUCCUUGCUGCUCUCUCAUGUUACCCUUAACUAGAGAUUUGCUCGUUUAUCGCUAUCACUCUCUACGGAUACUUAUAAGUUGAAGUUUUGGGUUUUACCAAUUGUCGUUUGCUUCCACGUUUUUUACCUUUUUUUGCCGUGGAACCAAUUACCUUAGGUUUUACAGUUUGUCGACAACUUAUUAUAACACCUUAUCUUCAUUUCUUGAACUGAUUUUUACAUUCUUAGCAAAAAAAAAUAUAGUGUGUUAUACAUGAUUUACAAUUUUGAGUUAUCUUUUUAGUAAAAUUGAUAAAUCAAGUAUUAACACAAUCACAUCAAUAGUUAACAAUACAGGAAUACAUUCUCAGAUUUUCAUUUUAAUUAGUUUAUUCUUUUAUAUAUACCAGAAAAAAAAUAAAAAUAUAGCAACAUCAGAAGCUGGCAGGUUGGUCCAUUGUAUUAGUCUCUGAGUGAUAUUGCCACGAUGGGUUUGCGCCAAGGUUGUUCCCUGUCACCUUACCUGUUCGUAAUAUGCAUGCAGGUGCUAUCUAAACUGCUUGAUAAAGCAGCAGCAGAGAAAGAGAAUUGGAUAUCACCCGUAUUGUAAGGAGUUGAGUCUAACUCAUAUAUGUUUUGCGGAUGAUGUGCUAGUGUUUUCAGAUGGGAGAAAGAGGUCCAUUGAAGGCAUUUUGGCUGUGUUUCAGCAGUUUGCAAGGAUGUCGGGGCUUAAUAUUAGUCUUGAAAAAUCUACGCUAUAUCUGGCAGGGGUAAGAGCAGAAGAUAGUGCGGAUAUUCUGGAACAAUUUCCAUUUGAAGCUGGUUCUUUACCGGUAAGAUAUCUUGGGCUUCCUCUUCUCACCAAGAAAAUGACUGUUCAAGACUAUAGUCCUCUUAUUUCAAGAAUAAAGACUCGAAUCUCUUCAUGGACGGCGAGACAUCUUACUUUUUCGGGUAGACUCCAACUCAUUGGUUCGGUUAUAUAUAGUAUAACGAACUUUUGGAUGUCAGCUUAUAGACUACCGAAUCAGUGUAUCCAGGAGAUAAAUAGCAUCUGUGCGGCUUUUUUAUGGUCUGGACCAGUACUGUCUACGCACAAAGCUAAGAUAGCAUGGUCAGAUGUGUGUGUGCCGAAAGACGAAGGAGGGUUAGGCUUGCGAAUAGAGUUUCUUGUUUAAAGCUCAUCUGGCGUUUGUUAUCUGCAAGAUCUUCUUUGUGGGUACAAUGGAUAUGGAAGUAUCUCAUAAGGAGUGUAAAGAAAAGUAGUUCUUUGGGUUCAUGGAUGUGGAAGAAGCUGUUGAAGUUAAGACCUAUGGCUCAGCAGUUAACUAAAAUGGAGAUUAAUAGUGGCUCAAAUACAUCAUUUUGGUUGGAGGAAUGGUCACCAUUGGGGAAACUGAUUGAUUUAACAGGAGAUGGAGGUUGUAUGGCUUUGGGUAUUCUUUUGAAUACUACGGUGGAAAGAGCUAUUCAGAUGUACAAGGUUAGAAGACAUCAAAUUUCUGUGUUUAGAAUGAUAGAGCAGGAAAUUAUGAAGUUGGGUUAAAUAUGCUGGAGGAUGUUUGUCUUUGGAAAAGGGAGAAUGGAGAUUUCAAAAUGGGUUUCAUCACAUCCCAAACUUGGAAUCUCACAAGGGUUCAUGCGCCAAAAGUUCCUUGGAGUAGAGGUAUUUGGUUCCCUGAAGCCACUCCGAAAUUUGCUUUUCUUGCGUGGAUUGCAAACCACAAUAGAUUAGCAACGGGGGAUAGGAUCCUUAGAUGGAAUCCUCAAGCUAUAUCCACCUGUUGGCUCUGCAAAAUGGAGAUUGAAACGAGAGAUCAUUUAUUUUUUUAGUGUAUUUACUCGAAAGAAGUUUGGAGGGGGACCAUUGGCAAUCUCGCGGGUAAUGGUAGCUUUUUUCAAUGGUUUCAAGUGAUUCAGGCUGUGGUAAAUGGUCCAAGGGAGAGAUACUCAAAUUUCUUGCUGAGUUAUUUUCUUCAGGCUGUUGCUUAUGCACUAUGGCAUGAGAGAAAUGUGAGAAGAGUUGGUGAAACUUCGCAGCCAGUUUCUUGUUUGAUUGCAAGAUUGGAAAAUUUGGUGAGAAACAAAAUCAUUUCGUUAAAGAGGAGGAAUGGAAGGAAGUAUGAGAAAGGGAAGUGUGGUUUGGGAGAAAAUAGUUUAUAGUUUUGAGAGAGCUAUAGUUUUGUAUAAAAAAUCAUAGAACAAUUGCAGUCCUUUCUGUACAAUGUUGUGAAUCGAGAGAAAAAGAGAAUUGGUUAAUCUUAUUAUUAGUUCGUAGACAACGAUGCCUAUAUAUAAGAAUACAAAGUUAGGGUUUAUAACCUCUAGAACAUGGGUUUAUGGGCCUAUAUGAACAUCCAUAAAAUAGUUCAUAACACUCUCCGUUGGAUGUUCAUUAUACAAAAUAAACUCUAAAGCGCAUAAGAUGCUGUCUCAUUAAAAAUUUUACCAGGAAAACUCAGUGGAAAAAACCGUGGUGAAGGGAAAAAGAGUGCAGCGCGCAUCUAAUUCCCCUGAUGAGAACAUAACUUGAGAUAUCUGAUAGGACACAAUCCAAUGUGAUGAAUUAACUCAUUCUUGGGGUUGGACCGGUUUACUUCUCUUGGCAUUUUUGACACUCCUCACUAAAACUUGAAUAUCUUGGUGACCGUAGGACAAAAUGACUUCAAACCACUUGGAAAUCGAAGCUAACAUCCAUGUCUAACUUUAGGCACCGAUCUGGCUCUGUUAAGAUGGAAAUAUCAAGUAAUAUUUUGAAUAUCAUAUGAUAUUAGGUAUUCUGGACAGCUUGUAUAUGUCCCACGAAAACAGCCAUAUCUCGAGUUCUAUCAUGGAGAAUGACUUGAUUCAAAUUGGAAAUGAAAAUAGAUUCAAAGAUCUUUCUCCGGACACCAAUUUCAUAUUUUAAUUUCAUCUAUACGGUCUCCUUUGAUUCAAAAUAUUUUAACGUUCGUUUCUGUCUAGCGAAUGAAAUGUGUCUAUACCUUGAUUCUUGUUCAAGUAUGAUUGAUCUUUGAUCAUUAUCUUCUGCUUAUUUUAGUCUCAAAAUACAUUGGAAGAUUGAUAGAUUUUCAUCACUUAAGUGUUAACAUUUCUCUUUAGGUAUCUAUCAUUUAUGUGUUCUUUGUUGCCUCGUUAAAACCUUGACAUGAAAAACCCAAUGGGACAAAAACCAUGAUAAGGAAAAAGAGUACAACUACGAACAUCAUCAUAUUUCUUCCCUUGGAAGCAUCAUCUUAGAGAGAUGUUUUCUCAUCAUAUAUAUUUUUCUUUUAAGAAUUGAUAUAAGCAUAUCCUUAGUAAUAAACUCAUUUGAUUGUCAGAUAAUCUCUUAGACCAUUGGACUUCUUAUCCAUAGCAUUAUUUUCACACAAAAGAUCAUAUUUUGGUCUAUUUGGACUUCUUGUCCAAAUUUCCUUUUAUAGACAAUCUUCUAAACCUUCACAUUAUGCAUACUUAUACAUACGAGUUAUCCUUUUGCUUCUCGUAAAAGUUACAAUUAUGAAUAUCCUUCUUGUCAUACGAAUCACAUCUUUCAAUCAUGAAAAAGAUCAAUAAAUUUCCCAAUAUUAUGGUACUCAUGACCAAGAAUUAUUUUCUUUAUAUGCUCAGUAUACUCGGACAAUAAUGUUCUCGAGAACUAACACUUACUCUGCUUCUAACAGUCCAAAUCUUUAUGGAGUUUACUACUUCUUGCAGUUUAUAUUCUUUUGGAUCGUUCACAUAAAUUUCAUUAUUCCAGUGGCUCUCAAUUCCUUUUCUUUGUUGCCAGACUAAAGAAACUUGAAAGUUUAUGCUUCCACCACAUGAUGAUAUGUUUCUUUAUAAUCAAUUAUAGGUCUUUGUUACAAUCCUUCUGCAACUACAACAUCAAAUCUCAUGAUUUUAUUAUCGCCUUUAUUCUUUCACAUUAAGAUCCAUUUAUGUGACACUGGUUUUACACCGUUAGGUGUGGGGACUACCUGUCCAAAUACUCUUAUCUUUCAAAUAGAUUGCAUCUAUUGUUUAUUUCCUCUUUCGGCCAUUUAUCAUAUUGUGUGCACAUUUCAAUAGAUGAUUCAUGAUCCUCAUUCUCAUCAACUGCUUCAUUGCAUGCAUAAGUAUUUACGACGUCGAUUUGGUAUCGGUUCCAUAUCGUUCCUGAUACAACAUAGCUAUUUGAGUUUUCUUUAUUCUCAGGUACCUGAAUUUCUUUCUUGUCAUGUUUUCUAUCUUUCCUCGAGAUCUUUAAUCUUUCAUUCCUCGAUUCUGCCAUUCUCAUUCAAGCUUUUUUUCUUUUAUGAGGAUUAUUAUAUUCAGAACUGAUAAGUCUUUCACGCUUCAAGCACUCUUUAAACUCAUUAGCAGUUUGAUACUGUCAUUCUGGGACAUCAAUUUAAAUUGGAGCAUUUAGAGCUGGUACUUGUGACUUAAUCACUUUCUUAGGGUCAGUAAAUGAGCAUGGCAACUCAUAUGCUAAUAUUUUUAAUAGAAUUAUCUCCAAACAUUCAUUUUUGGACUUCUAUUCACGCUCUUUAGUCCGAGGAUUAAUGAUAAUUCAUUCAACUCAUUCAUUCUCCAGCUGUUUAUUUUCUCCCCUUAAUGUUGGAUAGACUAACUAUGAGUCUUUAAAUAAAUUUUAUAAAAUCUUCAAAAUUUUAUCAUCAAUGGAGAUCAUAUCUAGGACUGUUCAAUAUGGUAAAACCGAACCGUACCGAACCGAACCGAACUGAAAUAGACAAUAUGGUUUGGUUUUGGUAUAUACCAUAUAAACCAAAUGGAUAUAAUUUUAUAAAAACCGUAGGAUUUGGAUAUGGUUUGGUAUAUAACCGAUUAAACCGAAUAAACCGAUUAAAAGUAGAAACAUGUAAAUAUGUAUCUAUUUUAUAACAAUACAUGAAAAUCUAUUUGUUACAUAAGUUAAAUUUGUGUUAAUAACUAUUACCAUAAUUUUAUAGUAAUAAAGAACCUUAAUUUGUAAAACACUUGAACUAUAAUUAAAUAACAAUACAUCGCAAUUCACACAUCUUAUUUUCUAAGUUUUCUUUUGAUCUUUUUGCUUUAUUUUAGUCUUCACUAAAUUAAUAUGAAGAUUAUAAAUUUGAUGGACAAUAAUUAAUGAAAAAUUUUCACAACUUUUUUCUUAUCUGUAAACAAACAGAGUUUCGUGUUCGAUUGAAAAAACAUGACUUUAAUGAACACUAAAUAUGGAAGAGUGGAAAAACUUUUCUUUCAUGUUUCUGUUUUGUUUCAUAUUUUUAUUUUCAAAAUUUGAAGCUUUGAUUUUAGUUAUAGAUUUGAUUAUUUUAUUUGACGGUAGAAGCAUUUUUACUUUUUUUGUUCAUUUAUUUGAACAUGUAAUAUAUUUUUAAUAAAUGACUGUAUUGACAAUAUGACUCUAAAAUUCAUAUAAUAUGAUCUCAAACUAAAUAAUUAUGUUUUUUGGUAUAAAACCGAAUAAACCGAAAACCGACGGUAUAUAAACCGAACUGAACCGAAGUAAAUAUGGAUUUAGAAUGGUAGUUAUAUUUUACUAACCGAAAUACCGAAAACCAAAAAAAACCAAACCUAAACCGAACCGAUAUCCGGAUUGAACACCCCUCAUAUCCAACAUAUUCAUAACUUCCUUUGAGGUCCCAUCUUUUAGCUGUGUGGUGGAGCAACUACAACUUGUGAAAAUUUUCUAGAUGAGUAUCUUUGGUUUCUGACCCAAAACCAAUUUAAUAGGGAGAGUUUUUAAUUACUCUUUGGCAUUAUGCGAAUCAUUGAUGUUGCAUCUUAAGUAUGAACAUUAGCUACAAUAUGUUCAUCAUGUAUCUCCAUAUGAAUAAAAUAACCAUUAAAGGCUUGUUAAUUCACCAGUUUUACCAAUCUCGCAAACAUCUGGUUGCGAUUUAUGAUAAGGAUACAUACGACCUUCUUGUCGAUGCAUUAACAUAUGAUGGAUGAUCAGUCCACCAGUGGGUGAUCAAGCCCACAAACAUGUCAUUGUUUAAAUAGGUUUUAAAUCUAUUUGACUGGUGAAAAUCGUAUUCUUAUAUUUCCUUGUAAGCAAGCAGCAUAUAACAGAUCAUUCGUAAGAAUCUUCUGGUUCUUCAACGAAUAUGCAUAUGAUUAUCUUUCGCAUCAUUACUAAACCGGGAUGGCAUAACCGGUUUGCCAAACAUUACACUUUCGGUAAACUUCUGGUUUACUAUUACAUUUAUCUCUAUUUUCUAAUCAUUGUGUAGUACAAUACAAUAGUGCUUUGGUGAUACUUCUGAUUGAAGGUAUUCAACAUUUCCAUUUACUUAUUGUCUCAACAUUACUAGAGUAUAAAUCUCGUGGUUUUAUUUUAUAAAUGACUAUUUAAGUCUAUUUCCAGUGUGAACAUACUUCUGGAUGUUCCACUUACUAGGGACGUGAGAUUAUCUAAUCUUCCCCUCGAGAUAAUGAUACUCAAGGUUCAUAUAUCUGGAAUUGAAUCUCACUUUAUAAUCAACAACAUAUCCAAUUUAAGGUCAUGUGUUAUAUCUUAGAUCUUUUUGAUCUUUGAGACUUGGAAAAGUAUAACGCAUUAAUGAUUUUAACUUGUGUUCCCAUAAGCAAGCAUGUAUCUGCUCCUCUAGAGCUUUCAAUAAUUUUGAUACCACAAGACAUUGUACUCACAAUAAUUUUCUUUCAUCUUUAUAUGAAUGAAUCAUAUCUCUUCUUUAUUACCAUCUUUAUUUUUUCAACUUUAAGUGAGAAUAUGAGUUCUAAAAAAAAUCUUUGGAUUUUAACCUUAUUUAUAUCCACAUUCACGUCUACAAUCACUUUUAUGUCUACUUUCUUGACCAAUGUUGAUUUUCUUUUUCAAUAUAAAAUGUCAGAUUCUCUUGAAGAGAAUGAUCAUAAUCAACUAGAUGUGAUUUUUUCAUCUUACAUUAGUAGCUCAUUAUUAUUUUUUCUUAGUCUCAAGGAGACAAAAUAUAGUUAUAAACUUCUUUAAUCUCAUUUUAUCAAUCGGGUGUCUACUAGACAACAUUAAAUAAUUAUUUUAUUCACUAUCUUUUUACUAUCAUGCCAUUAAUCAUUUUUAGAUUAUAUGAUUAAGUUUUCAACAAAAUAUUUAAACGAAUCAAAUGACAUGUAUAAUUAAUUUAUUUAAUCAAAGGUUUAUUUGACUAUAAAUUAUUAUUAAGCAUGAUAGGGAAUAUAAACUUAUCUCGAUAGUAGAAGUAAAACAGGAAUUGAAAAUCUGGCAUGAAGAUGAUCUUUAAAACAUUUUCUAUCUUUCGGCUAGUUAGAAUCUCAAAUAUACAUAACCCUGAAAUACUUAAAAUUGCUCAUAAAACAUGGCUAUAUUGAUAUUUUAGUAAACAUCAAUAUGUAAUAUCAAAAUUAAUUUUGUAGCAUUAUCCCAAUAUUAUUACUAACAAUACAAAAAACAUGUGUAGUAUUCAAAAGAAUAAUAUCGUCAAUCUGUGGACUAGAGACCAAGCAACAUAUAAAAGGAGUGAGCGGCAAAAUAUACAAAUAUGAUUUUAAAUCAAUCAUAAAGAAUAAUGACUAUAGAACCGCUAGAACAAAUACACUGUAAUGCAUAUGAAACCAUAAACAUGAUAGAAGACACAUAUUAUUAUUUAUACAUGAAGUUCGACGAAUGUAUCAACCGGUGAAAUAUAAAUUAGUGAGAAACAAGAACCACUCAUAUAAAAUAAUAUCAUUUAUUGUAUUGACAGCAAUAGGUCAAACUCAGACUCAUAUUAUAUUGCUAAAAGAACAAAGUAUAUAUGUGAAUAAUAAUACUAUGACUAUGUCAUGUGUUAACUGUAUGAAUGAAUUAAGUAAUGAAACAAUAACCAUAUAUACUAACGUGAUAACAACAACACAUAUGACAAUAAAGAGUAUCAACUAUAACAAGAAAUGAUUCGUAGGUUUUAAUUGUAGUUAUAGAUUCUAACUUUUAGUUCACAGUAUCAACAAUAAAAAUAGUGAGCUAAGUGGUGAUGGUUAUAACUUAUAAACAAACCGAUUGAUUUUCAUAAUAAAACAGUAAAUAACAAAGACGAGCUCUUGAUAACCAAACCUAUUAACAAUAAGCGAUACAAAUUACAGCCUGUAAAAUUAAAUUAAACUAGUCAUCUUUAACAGAUGGACAACCAUUGACAGUCAUAAAAUUAAUCUGAAUGCUAUAAUCGAAGUAUAAUACAAAGCCGUCCUGUUAUCAAAAGACUACUCAUUUUCUCUAGUGAUUUAUUAAAUUAAUAAAACCAGAUCAAUAACGAUACAAUAUAAAAGAGCACCAGUCAAAUCAAGUCGUUCAAAGCAAUAACAUCUCGAGUAAUUAAAUUUUGAGCAAACAAACGAAAAAGAAACAUGACCAAUAAAUGAUUCUCUCAUAAUAACAUAAUAAUCAGAUCUAAAUAAUUGGUUAAAGCAUGAUGGAUUAAGUAUGAUGUUAAAGUAUAGAGAAUAAUCCUUAUCUUGAUAGGUAGUGGUAGCAACAUCAAUCGAAGACCACGUCUAAGAGGGAUAUGAAGACCACGUCUAAGAGCGAAAUGAAGAUGACGUCAUAAGCUAUGAGGAAUUUUUUUUUUUCACUAGGGUUUUAGAUUUUUCUCGUUAUUAGUCCGUAGACAACUAUACCUAUAACCAGGACGAGUUAGUCUGGUGGUAAACGGCUUGCAGCUGCAAGUACGGUCCCGGGUUCGACUCGCACUGGCCACCAGGGAAUUUACAUGCGGACUUGCUCUGGCGCCUGAGACCGAAGACCGUUGCCUGGCCAUGACCCACCCUCGGGUGAGCGUCCCCGCCGCUAAAGGUUUGGUCUCUAGUCUGGACCACCACGGUGGGACCAAGACACUCGGUUAAAAAAAAAGACAACUAUACCUAUAUAUAGGAACACAAAGUUAGUUAGGGUUUAGUAUAUGGACUUAUAACUACAAAAGUUUUUUUUGAGAUAAAUAAAUUUAAAAUUCUUUCAAAAAAAAAGAUAAUGCCACGAUGGGUUUUUGACUCUUAUUCACGUCCUUGUUUUUAUAGUCAGUUUCUUAAAAUAAAAUUAUAUAUCAGGGUUUUAAUUGGACAUUUAUUAAAUUGAGUUACUAUUCAUGAUUUUUUCUAUAUCUUUUUCUUUUCUUUUGGAUUUUUCUCUGCAAAUUUGUGCACUGGAAAGAGGUGAGUUUGCUUUUAACAAAAGCGAUACAAUCUAAUAGUUUGUUUGAAGAUAAUUUUUUUUAAAUAUUAAAUAUUAUAAAAUACUGAUAAACGGGCAUACACAAAUUGAUUACAAGCCUGAUUUCGACCAACAUUUAUCUAGAAUCAAAUAUUACUGUGAGGUUAUGAUAGACACUUGUUGGGGUCAAAAACGGUUACGACGGAGUUAACAUUCAAAACGUCCGAAGAAGAAAACGGGAAAUUUCUUCGACGAAUAUUUUUUCGAAAUAGAUUCUUUCUUACGAAAAGUUUUGCGGAGGAAACACGAGACAUCAGACAAGGGCUCGAAAAAGGUCGCUACGCAACGACCGAACGAGUGUUCCGCUCAGUCGCUACGUAGCGACCGAGCUCUUCCAAAACGUCGAUACGACAUUAGUCCAUGUAUUCUCAUCUACCCUUCGAUGCUAUCUCCCGAAGACCGUAGCAAACCCAUUUCAUGUUUCCCGCCAUUCUAAGUCAUCGAUCAAACUUUAUCGUAAAAACCGCGGAAAGUUCGUUCUUUAUCGAAAGAAGCCGUAAUAAACGCUUCGAGUCAGAAGACGGCCCAAAGGGACCUAAGACAUGACUCGAGGCCCAACUUACGAUUUCUUAACCAACAGCCCGUAAGCCGCAUGACGGUUUACGCUUGGUUCCCAAGGAAAGAUAAAUGUCAAGUUUCCGCGGAUAAAUACGAAAUUUUGAAGAUAAUUACGAAGAUCGGAAAAAAUGGAAUAUCUCCAUUUUUACGCUAUGACGGCUUAAGGGCAGAAGAGGAAAAGCGCAAACCGACCUAGGAGCCAGUAUAUAAGGAGUCCUAGGCGAGAAGCAUGGGGAAGGACUUUCUCAGAGCAAACUUAGCACUUAGGGCAAUUAAGAAACUUUCCGUUUUUGUUAUUCGAUCUGCGACUCAAUUAGGUUUAGCCGUCUUAGGGUUGUUAGAACUAGGAAUCUCACCGACAGCUCUCGAGCCCAGGCUUAUACCUUGUUGUAAACGCUCAUACGCAAAUUCAGAAUAAGACUUCUCUUUGCUCUCUUUUUACGAUUUCAUAUAAUUUAUCGUUGUUAUCUCGUGUUCUGAUUGCUUAGUGUGUGGUAUUAGCAGAUAUCCGGGACCUCUGGGAAAUUAGGGUUCUCAUACUUUCCUAAUUUAAACGGAAAUCGACAGUGCGAAUUUCGGUUCCCACAACACUUGUUGCGGAAUACAAGCUCAUAAUACCCCUGUCCCUUUCACUACUCAAACGAUUCAUCAUUGUUCAUGACUCAAGAAUUAUUCACCCAGUUCACGGCCGCAGCGCGCUACAUCUGGGGUGGAUCCAAGAUCCACAACAUCCAUUAUGAAGUAUCGGAAAACACCUCCGAUGUGGUUUACAAGAUCAUUACUCUCUCUGUCCUGGGUAUACAAAUCCUAGAGAGUAUAAAGAGAUUACAAGAGAAGUACAUGGCUAAGAGCUAAGCCUAGGAUUACAUAUCUAUCACUACUUACUCUAUCUCUGCAAGAGACGCCAUGGAAGCUCUCGCCUCCUAGAGGCUCUGCUUGAGCUUGGAGAUCCCUGUCGCGAUCUUUCCUUCUUUGUAUCAGCACUUGACCUAAUGGGCUUCAACGAUUAGGCCCAUAUGUUGUCCGCGCGUAACUUGUGCAAGCCGGCCCAACAUUGAACUUGUCUGAUGGACUUUGACCAAACUUCACAAAACUCCACCUGUUUGGUCCAAGUCCAUAACCUUUACUUUGUGCCGACACCUCUUGAUGCUUGAGCAAGCCUGCUCAUCUUCUGCAUCUACUUGUCUUCUCUUAUCUCUUCUCACUUCUCUCAGCUCCACCUUGAGCCAAGCUUGAAGUUCCUUCAUGAUCUUCUUUAAACCUGCAUAAGCUUCAACUUAUACACCACAACCGCUCAAGUAGAUUAAAACACUUUAAUCCACUUAGCCCCCUCAAUGAACAUAGACAUCACACCUGAUGAAAGGUAUGUGACAAUCCCAUUGCCAUUCUGAAUAUCCAUCACCUUCAUCUAUUGUCUUGAGUUGCGAACCAAGCUGCUACACUCCAAGUGUCAAGCUCAACUCCUCAUUGACGCCGUGUUACUUCAUCUCUUGUUACUCCUCGUGAACUUAUCAACAAUACAACCUUGCUGUCAAAAUCAUGAACAUGUUCAAGUGCUUGAACAGAAACCUGAACAUCCUUCUGCAAGUUGAUUUCCUCCUUGGCCUUUCGAUUCCACUCAUGUGCACUAAGCCUUGAAUCAAAUUCCUUGAAUACUGUGCAACAAAUUUUGAACCAUAUAUGCUUCAGACUUGAAACAACCUCUGAUUCUCUACUUGUUUAAAACACUCUAGCCUUGAACCCGUUUUGUAGUGCUGUUACUCAGAACAGGACCCACCAUCCAACCAUCACUGCUGGACAGACUCUCGACACAACUUUUAUUCACCCUUCAUGUUGUUAACAGAAAUUGCUACCACAUAAUUCUCCUUGAAUCAACUGCAAACCUUUGAAGUCACUCAUGCUCCAUAUCUCUGAAACAGUCUUUGACUUACCCUUGAUGUUCUUGAACAGAUUACACUUGAGCAUCACUUUGUGCUGCUGCACACUUAAGCAGGACACGCCGCCUAAAACCACAUGAUUAGGAAGACUGUCGACAUAAAUAUCUUUGCUCCACCAUCUGAUCAAACUGUUCUGCAAUAACAGAACCUCCACUAACUGAUUUAGACCCCACUGCUAGUUGAAUGAACUGAGCCUCAUACCAUCGAAUCCAUGAUACGCCUUGGCUCUCCUCACGAGUUGCAUGUGAUGUAUUUAUCUAGAAUCCUUGAUAUCACUCCUUUUCUCAGCUGUGAAUUCAUUAUCUCAAUAACCUUCUUGUAUUAAGAUGUCUCCAAACACCGAAACAUGUGCAUCACCAUCAACGACUUGAACAUGCCUGUUAGUCAUUGAACCCGCCAGUAGCCUGAUGAGUACCUGGCCAUCGAUGAGUAUCUGGCCAUUUGCUAAUGGACUUUCCUGAGGACACUGCCUCAAUAUUCCCCUGUGAUGCGAUCAAAUAUCCAGAACUCCACAUGUUCUGAUCCAUAAAUGCAAUCGGCUUUUCCUGCCCUUAUACCUUCAUGAAACUUCUUUCAGUUCCAUGACCUGAGCUUAAGAUGAGCCUGCUUGUGGAGAAAAAGUCUUACCCUUCCUGAGAUGGACAUACUAUAAGACAAUUCCCUGCAAUCCCUGCAAUGUCUUCUAGCAGUUUCUUAAUUUGCUUCAUCUCACCAUUCUUCAUCUUCACUGCCAAUAUUUCAGUAUCUCUUGAUACUUACUUACCUUCAGUUUAACCAAGUACCCCACCACGUGUUAUCUUGCAUUAUACUCGGCUCUGAUUUCGUGGUCCCCUGUAUCAACCUCACUGCAGUGUACUCAUGAUACAUAUGCCGAUUUACUUGUCUCGCCGAUAAAUUCCCUUAUGUAAGACUCCUCUUACAAAUCUCCUAAUGAUGCGCCUUGUACUUGUUAACUGACCUUGACACUCUUGGCCUUGACACACUGAACAUAUCCACGCCCCUCUUGUCAUGGAAUAACCUUUCCUUUCAGCUCUUAUUCCCUUGAGCUGACCAUGUUGCUAACCGAAACUUUUACCCCUUUAGCUGAACCAAUCAAGACAUCUUCUAACCAGUGACUCACUCCACCUGGAAUCAGAUUAUAUAUAUCCUUGAUGCAUCAAUCCUUAUAUAAUCUCAGUGGCUCCACCUGAAUCAAAUAACCCUUUAGAAGUACCAUGUCUCUGUAACUAAGUUUCUGCAACUGUUCGUUGUUCCUGUCGGCCUCUUAAUCUUAUCUCCCAUCAUCUAUGCAUGUGAUGCUCCUGAGAUAAUCCCUUACAGCUUCUCUUGUGUCAAACUCGAGUCUCAUGACGAGUUUCUCCAGCUGUAACUAUACUUGAACCAUAACCUGUUCAAGCCUGAAGUUCCGACCUGGUCAAGUCUACAAAUUGCUCCUUUUGCCUUUGAGGUUCGAUUCUUGUCUGAGAGCUCCACCUUGACCACUGUGGUCGUGACACCAGACCAGCGUCCUUACUUCUCCUUUGAGUCUAUUAAUCUGGAAUUUCUGACUCAGACAUCCUUGACGAUUCCUCUAAGGUAUAACUCACACACGCUUCUACUAGCUAUGGUAGCGACUUUCUGCUUCUUGAACAAGUGUUGAUGACUGUUGUCUCAUACCCAUUUUCCUCAGGAUUACAACCAGUCGUAACAACCUGUUCAACCUGAUUCCGCUUGCGCAUUUUUCUCUGCCUUUGACCAGAAUCUUCAAGCUAAGUCUAACCUUGAAUCGCCUUUUUCUUUGGUUUCAUGUCACUCACACGACCUUACUAAAGCUACUACAUGCUGUUACCACAAAUAGCCAUUUGCUCCAACAUACCCUUGUGUAGGCUUUUACACACUUUGUCCUUACUCUAGUUGCCUUUUCGUGGAGGUACAACCUAUUCCUGCCACACUGACUUGGUGACUAUUUUGGCUUUCUUCUUACAGCCAAAAACUUUCCAUGUCACUUUCACGACCUCACUAAAGCUGCUACAUGCUGUUACCACAAAUAGUCAUUUGCUCCAGCGUAUACUUGUGUGGCUUUUGCACACUUUUCCAUUGCUCUAGUUUCCUUUUCAUGGAGGUACACCAUGUUUCAGUCACACUAACUUGGUGACUCCUCUGACUUUCUUCUAUCAGUCAGAAACCAUUCCUCUCAUGCACCCACGAGCCUGACUUGAACUGACCCAAAAUAGAUCACCUUUGUUUCGUCAUAUUGUUGUCACACGACAACCAACCUGUGCAGCUUCAAGAUCCGUUGGUCAUCUUUCGCUAAGAUAACCUGCAUUCCUUGUGAUCUCUAAAAAAAACCUUUAGUCCCUCUGAGAUUGAUGACCUUUGAUUCCAUCUCCUUAAGUCUAGCUUUGACUUCAUAUGAGUCUGGCUUCCCUUGAGAUAUCCUCCAUCCCAAUUGACUCAAAUCAAUCUCCAACACUACUGAUCAUGAACACGCCCACCUGUGCAGCCUUCUUGCUGCAGCUUACGCGAGUCUUCCCUUUCUUUCAAAUACCACUGCAUCCCUUGCAAGUCUCUCAUCAUGAUUUCACCAACCUGAAACCACCACGUGCUUUGAGAUCAUCCUCUGUGAACGUUUCUUCCUCUGUCUCUGACGCCGUUGUUGCCUACCACAACCGAACGCCAUCUGCUUUCUCUGACGCUAACUGUUCAACGUCAUCUUUGGUUUGUCACACUUAAUGCGAUCGUGACUACAAAUCUACUGAUUCUUCUUCUCCAGAAUUUCCAACUGAUGUCGAUGCUAACUUGAAGCUCCUGCAGAACCUGAAUCACCACUGCCUGAAACCAGAAGCCCUUUGACUCAAUCCAUAUCCAACCUCAGUAGCCCGUAGACACCAAACUCAUCAUCCUGAGAAUUUCCUUUGUAAUAAUCUGAAUGAACACCUUGCCUUGAACAUCACUCUGAACCGCNNNNNNNNNNNNNNNNNNNNNNNNNNNNNNNNNNNNNNNNNNNNNNNNNNNNNNCUGAACCGCUGCUGUUGCCAACAGAUCCCGCCGCGUAGCACAACUUGCUAAGAAGACUUUCGACGCAAAGAAUCUCUGCUCAACUUAUGCUCAAACAAAUCAUUACCUCUGCAACCGUGACACCCUGUAGACAUAUUUGUUUUCCCCUCAUAUGCCCUGAGAAGCCAAAACAAACUACUACUGAAUCUCAUGCAGAAAAUCCGGAACAUACAUGUUUCCAUCCUGAAUCAAUCUCGAUUUGACACCGCCACCUGUUUAGCCGAACUCUGCCUUGAACAAGUAACUCCUCGUUCUCGCAGAUCCAUUCCAGCAGAAAACGAUAUGUUACGCCAAACACAUAUCUGCUUAGAAAAACCACACUGCAUUCCCUCUGAAAAUAGCAGCCUUGUAGUAUCUUGUUCUCUGAACAUCUACCCAAUUGUAGACUCUCAUAAUCACACAUAGACAAAUCUGCAUGAGUCGAUCUCCUUCAACCCUUCUGCAACACCCUUCACGCUGACUAAAGAAUACCAUCUGAAACAGCCAUGAAACACUCAUAUCAUUCAAGGUUCUAAGGCGUCCCCUAGUUCCAAGAAUUCCAUGAGAUACCGAGCUGAAAUACCCACAUAGAUUAGAACACCACCUGUGACUGGUAUACCAUGUAGAUUCAAUCCAAGAACACCGUGAAAACCCUCACUGAAUCUUCAGACAAUCCCAUAGGAAAACCAGUGCGAAAACCCCUUGUGCUCCACUAUGCUUUCAGUUCCAAUAACUUGCAGAACAUGAAGAAACCCAAGACUCCAAUGCAUAUAGUCACACACGCCUUAUGACUGCAGAUCGAGGACAGCUCUGAAACCUUUCUUUCUUAUGCUAGCAGCCUGCCACCAUCUUAUCUUGUGAGUAACCCGAAGUCCUUCUCACACAGUAGCAGAUUCUUGCACCCUGGAGAACUCUAGAGAAACCCUGAUUUCAUAAUUAGAAAUCAUCUCAACCGAUUCAACUGACUCGUGAAUCCUUCCUCCAUAAACUUGUGCAGCUGCAGCAAAGAACGUCCAACAGUUUUUCUUCUUUUUCUCUUGUAAACCAAAAAUCUCUUUAACCUGAUCUUGUAACUCGGUUUAUCCUCUGAUUUUUAACAUAAUCAGAAUUCCACGUGUGUAGAACCACGUGACCACCAGCUUCCAUUAAACCUUGCGAGUUUCUUCUGUCUCGCUUGGAAGCUUCUUCAUAUGUCUCUCCUCCUCGAGACGUGGACUCCAUGAAUCAAUGAGCCUAUGCUCUGAUACCACUUGUGGGGUAUUCAUAUGCUCUGAUACCACUUGUGGGGGUUAUGAUACCCACUUGUUGCGGAAUACAAGCUCAUAAUACCUCUGUCCCUUUCACUACUCAAACGAUUCAUCCUUGUUCAUGACUCAAGAAUUGUUCACCCAUUUCACGGCCGCAGCGCGCUACAUUUGGGGCGGAUCCAGGAUCCACAACAUCCACUAUGGAGUAUCGGAAAACACCUCCGAUGUGGUUUACAAGAUCAUUACUCUCUCUGUCCUGGGUAUACAAACCCUAGAGAGUAUAAAGAUAUUACAAGAGAAGUACAUGGCUAAGAGCUAAGCCUAGGAUUACAUAUCUAUCACUAGCUUACUCUAUCUCUCCAAGAGACCCCAUGGAAGCUCUCACCUCCUAGAGGCUCAGCUUGAGCUUGGAGAUCCCUGUCGUGAUCUUUCCUUAUUUGUAUCAGUACUUGACCUAAUGGGCUUCAACGAUUAGGUCCAUAUGUUCUCCGCGCGUAACUUGUGCAAGCCGGCCCAACAUUGAACAUGUCUGAUGGACUUUGACCAAACCUCACAAUUACAAGUCUAGUUUCCUACGUUGAGUGGUUCACAUUCAUGCAACGUGAAUCAAGAUUAGUCAUUAAAUCAGUCAUGAACUAGUAAUGCAUGCCUAGUAUAUUUCAUAUCUUAUAAACUAAUUUAAUAAUUGUUAGUAUCUUCAAUGUCCAAAACUUAGACCAUUUCCGAUGGUUUCCAUCAUUUUUUCUUACAAAAUGAAAUAAAUUUAAAAUGAGUUUGUGAUUUGCUCCAGUGGUUUUUUUCAUUUUCUCUCUCAAUUCUUGUUAAAUGUUGUAUUAAGUUUGUUGUGUUUUUCUUAACUUUGUAUUAGUUAUGUAUCUUAAUGGUAUUGUUUUCUAUUUUAUUUUCUUUUAAUUAUAUAUUAUAAUCUAUAAAAUUAUAAAUUAUAUUUUAAUAAUUAAUUAUUGGUAAUUAUAUUUUAAGAAGUUUAACCAGUAUAUACAUAAUUGAUAUAAAGUUAUGAAAGUUAUGUUUAGUGUUAAUGUUUUUUAUGCAUAAAAUAAAGAUUGUCAAAUAGUAAAUGACCAUUAUAUAAAUAAAAAAACUUAACAUCAAAAUGAGAUUUUUAAUAAUAUUCCCUCAAAUUUGAAAGAAUACCGUUCAUAUACUCAUUUUUUUUUUCUCAAAAUGAUGUAACAUUGGAAAUAGAUUUCCUUCAUUUUUGUAUGUUCUCCCUUAUUUUGAUGCACUAUUGGAGAUGCCCUUUCCGAAUAAAAAUAGUCAUAAGACACUAGCCAGCUAACAUAGUCGUCACCAAUUUUUACUUUUCAUUAAAUAUUCAAGUCUCAUGAGAAAUUACUUAUAAAACAGACUGCAUGCCGUUUUCGCUAAACAGAGAUCUUAUGAUAAACGGCAUUACAAUAUCUGUGGCUUUCUUCUUACUCAAGUUUGACAUAAUUGACCACCUAUGUCUAUCUAAUCGCCACGGGACUCGCCACUACGUGUUUUCCAUCUGACCAUUCGAUGCUCCCGAAGCUGUUAGACCUUGGCGCCUUAGAUGAGACAACGGUAAACGUCACCGAAUACGAUUUCUUCUCGUUCACUUCUUUGAAAUUCAAAACCGGCGGUUCAACCGAAAUCUUGACUGCCGUUGUCUCCGACGUUACUUUAACCGAGUAUGACCCAGCUCCUCCCACGUUUGUGACAGUGCGGGUGUACUUGUACGUGCCGGAUCCUUUGACGUUAACGGCGAACGACGGAUAGUUUAGAUCAGCGGCGGGGUGCGUUUUUCUUGGACAAGCGUAAUUGCCUCUCGAUAUGAUUGUGAUCAGCGACGAAUUGUAAUUCGAUGCGCAGAUGAAAUCUAUAUAAUCCUCCGUUGUUAGAUCGUAGAUGAGUCCUGGAUUAACGGCCGUCGUGGGCGACACGUGCUCGAACGGUGUUGAAGGUUUUCCCGUCGCGACGUCGAGGAUCGGUUUUCCGUCUUUGUAAGUAUUGUAAGCGGUGGUCAUGAGAGCCGAUCGAAUCGCCGCCGGGCUCCAUUCCAGAUGCACAGACAUGAGAAGAGCCGCCAAACCGCUCACGUGAGGGCAAGACAUGGACGCUCCUGACUUGAUGUUGAAUUCCACGCGGCGAGUAUCGUAUUAGGUCCCCGCGAGCUCCGGUCCAUGCGGCGAGGAUAUUGACUCCCGGAGCUAUCAAAUCCAGUUUGAGAAUGUUUGGCAUUAUCGUUUUAGGUCCCCGCGAGCUAAACGUCGCAACCAUCGGAGAUGGCCGGACGUUCACGACUGUUCCUCUGAUCAAAAUGGAAGUGGUGGGAUUCGGAUCGGUCAAGACGUAGCGACGGAUAAUGUCGCUUGAGGCGCCGGUUUCGAGGAAUAGGCCUGCGUUUUGUCCGUCGAGACCAAGGAAUAGUGGAGUUCGAGUGGUGUGUAACUCGUACUUCUGCUCUUGUUGAACCGAGAUGACACCAGGUUGGGUCAUGAGUGAGUCGGCUUCUUCGGGAGUAAGCCGAGUGGCGAAUCCACAAUAACACUCGAAGAAGAAUGCGGAAAUGAGCCGGAAACGCGAACCCAUUCCGAUUGUUGUUCAAAACAUGUGAAAUAAUAACUAUAAGUAAAGAAAAUCGAAAAAAUAAAUGCUUGAGUAACAAUCAAAGGAUCACCCCACCUUCAUUACGCCGCAAGCUCCCAUAUGUCCAAGGGAAAAGGAAGAAACAAAGACAUUUCAAAAUGAAUUUAGAAAUCUAUAUAAUUGCGUUUGUUAAGUAAACAAAUAUAUCUGUUGGACGAGAUGGUUAUGUAGUAUGCACAUAGUGUUUAAGGUUCAAGGUUCAAACCCUGUUUUCAACCAAAAAAAUUCAUUAAAAAAUUAGUACCAAAACGACGUAGUAUUGAAAAAUAUUAAAACUAUACACAGUCAAUUAUACAUAUAUACGGCCGAGGAUUAUAUUGCGGUUUGACUGGUACUUGGAGGGUUGACCCGUGGAUUUUUGAGUUCGCACAUUAAUUUGCAAAAAAAAAACUACAUUGAGGUUUUUUUUUUUUGCAGAAAACCCUAAUGAUUACUAUACUAGAUAAACUGGCUGUGAUUUGUUUGAGACUAUAAAGAUGGUUUAUAGGUGACUGUGAAGUGUGAACACAAGUUUACCCUCUGGAAUCUAGCCAGAAAAGUUUUACCUUAUAAGAACUUGAAUUAGAUUUGAAGUGUACGAGUAUUUGAAAGGAAAAUGAUCAAUAAGAUUUGAAGUGUACUCAUCGCUUGGUUUGUUUCCCCGAAAUUUUAUAUGAUAAGAGAAGCAAAUGAGUGUGAGCUAUCCAUCGGUUAAUCCGGAAGAUCCUCCUCCAAGGGAUGCCAUCUUACUCUCGGCUUUCUGGUAUGAAUCUCCACUGCAAAUUCUCUAGGCUAAUAACAUGAAUGCUUUGGUGUUUUAAAAUCAGGGUUCAGGGUUUAAGAAAAUUGCAAGUCCAUUAAUAUACUUAAGGCUCAUCACAAGACAAAAGCGAAGUAACGAACUACUUUCCAAACAUAUAUCAUAUAUAUCUCAAUGGGGUUUUGAGGGUUGGAUCCAAAUAAUGUGAGUGGCAACUAGAGACUUUGGUUGUAUGGUACGACAUGAAUAUCAGAUCAGACUAACUAAAAUCACAUAAAAAUAGCUAACAUUACAAUGAUACAUUUUCAGAUUUUCUUUUUACUUUAGUUUAUCUAUAUAUAUAUAUAUAAAGCAGAAUAUCCUCUUCUUUGGUGAAGCCACGUCAACAAAUAGAUGAAGGAAAGAACGCCACGUGUCUUUCGCCUGAAUCUUAUGGGCUAUCACGUUUUUAUUGUUGGGCUUUCCAAUUAAGUUAUCAAUAAUAAAAAGCCUACUCCUCUCUCCUGAACGCAGUCGAUAUAUCUGUCUUCUUGGAAAUCACAUUUUAUUACUACGAAGUGGAGAGAUGUAGAUAUAUUAGUGUUCAAAUUUUAAAAAUCUUUGGACCAAUCAGUUUGAGUUUGGUUCCCUGACCAGUCUUGGAUUGUUACUGCAGAGGUUGUUACUUUGAACAAGGAGCAACAAUGACAAUGAAGAUUAACAUAGAUAUUCUUAUCGACGAGCCAUGAAGAUUAUUGUGAAACGAAGAGAGAUGAGGUUGAUUCAAAGAAAGCACAGGACUUCUUUUGCACAUUCAUUCAAGUUUGUCGACAUAUUUAGAAGAACAAAAGAAACUUUAAUCAAGUAACUUAUAUAUUUAUCUAAAUACAGUAUUAAUUGUGGUUCUUACAAUCAGGAGGAGAUUGGAGAACCAGAGGAACAUGUCAUACGGAGUCACUGCUUUAUUUUGGAAAAAUAAAAAUUGUAGCAACAUCAAAAGCUGGCAGGUUGGUCCAUUGUAUUGGUCCCUGAGUGAUAGAUAAUGCCACGGUGGGUUUUUUACUCUUGUUCACGUCCUUAUUUUUUAUUAAAUUUUUGAAAAUAAAAUUCUAUAUCAGGGUUGUAGUUGGACCUUGAUUAAAUUUGAGUUGAGUGCCACUAUUCAUGAAUUUUAUCUUUUUCUUUUAUUUUGGAUUUUCCUCUGCAAAUUUGUGUAAUGGAAAUAGGUGAAAUUGCUUUUAACAAAAGCCAUACAUUUUGUUAUUUCAAUUCAAAAAAAUCUUAUAUAUUAAAACAAAAGUCACAACCUUGAUUCAUGUGUAAUUUUUUUUUUUAAAUGGAUCCUCAAUAGAAAUCAGUUAUAACACGGUUUAAUAAUAUAUCGCAACUAAUAUAACUCCUACAAAAUAUGGUAAACUUUUUUUUUUUUUUUUUGAAACACAUUUAUAUUAAAAGAUCAAACCAAAGUAGUUGUAGCCACUAAUGCCAGUUCAGCAGACAAGACCUGCUUUGCUAAUCAGCCUCAGCAUUUUUCAUACGAGAAAUCCAAUGAAAAGAGACACAUUCAAAUGAGGAGGCUAAAGAGAGGAUAUCUGUUAAGAUCCCAUAGAGAUCAAUAAUCGAUGAUUUCGUCUUGAGAGCUUUGAUCAAUAUGGCUGAGUCCGACUCGCACCGAAUCCUUGAUAGUCCUAGCUCUCUGCACUUUCCUAAAGAUUCCCGGAGGGCCAAAGCUUCGGCGACCAACGGUGAUCUCACAUGGUGAGCGGGAAUAGAGUAAUGGGAGACUCUGCUUUGUGAUUCCACUGUCCAUCCAAGACCUGCAAUCUUUUGGUCUUCAUUCCAAGCAGCAUCAGUUUUGGUGAGAAAACAGUUUGGUGGUGUAGGGCCUGGGGGGUUCAGCUUGUGGUUUGUCGGAGGUGGUGUCACUUGACAAGAUCCCCAUUCACGAGCCAGUGCAAUGGCUUUGGAGAGCGUUUCAUCUGCUGGUUGAGGUUUCCCAUUGAACACCAGGUUGUUUCUUGCAGUCCAGAUACUCCAUAAUAUCCAGGGAGCAAGCUGGCCUUCUGUUACUCCCGUAGGCGGUAGAUUCUUCCUCGUCGUCAGAUCACACCAUAGGCUUCUCAGAACUAUAGAUUCAUUGUACUCAGUACUUGGGAAAACAGAGACAGAUAACCAAACCUGUUUCGCAAAAGUACAGUGAAAGAACAAGUGAUGUAUAGUUUCUGGUAGGUUCCAUCACAUUUCACUUCCCACAAAAUAUGGUAAACAUGACCAAUUUUUAAUCCUUAUUAAAUGUAAAAUCAAUUUAUACAUAGCCAUGAUGUAAACCAUUAUCAAACCAGUCUGUGGACCAAUACAUUAUCCUAUUGUUAUUAUUCUGAAUAUGCAAUGUAAAUCAAAUUUCGACCAACCCCUUAAAUUAACGACGAACACUAUACCAAAUGGGUUUAAUUAAUCACCAUAUGUAUAUUGCGUUUAUAAAACAAAUUAUAUACAUCAAAUCUGAAUUACAGACUAACUAACUGCACCGUAAUAUUUUACAUGCACAAUAUAUUUUAGUGUUAAAAAUUUGAUGUUUUUAACAGUAUCCCAAUUUUUUUUUAUCUAUUACCAAUUUGAUUUAGUUUUUAAGAGUAGGUCCAAUUUGAUUUAAAUUUUAUAUAUAUUUCAAAUUUAUAAAUAAAAAAUAUGUAAAAUAGUACUGUUACAUAAUUAUGUUUUCAAAACAAAAUUUUUUUUACAAGAAUACAAAAGUUGAAUUUUUUUAUAAUAAUAAUAUCAUAAAUCACAUAAACACAUGUAUAAUAGAGUUAGAUAAUACAUAAUACUAAACUAUAUUAAUUUAUUGAUAAAUUUUGUUUUGUAAACUAAAAUGAUUUAUGUUAUUAGAUUAAUAUGUUUAAACUCAUUGCAGUCACAUUGUUAUGAAACACUGGAGGUAAUUGAUUAGUGAUAGUUUUCUACUUAGAGUGGUUCACAAUCAUGUAAAUAGGUGAAAUUGCUUUUAACAAAAGCCAUACUUUUUUACAUUUCAUUAAAUAUUCAAGCCUCGUGAUAAAAAUUACGUACAAAACAGACUGCAUGCUGUUUUCGCUAAACAGAGCUCUUAUGAAAAACGACAUUACAAUAUAUGUGACUUUAUUCUUUCUCAAGGUAGUCGUAACUGACUACUAUGUCCAGCUAAUUGCCACUGGACUGACCACCACAUGUUUCCCAUCUGACCACUCAAUGCUCCCGAAGCUGUUAGACCCAGACGGCUUAGACGAGUCAACUGUAAACGUUACCUCAUAAGAUUUCUUCUCGUUUACUUCUUUAAAAUUCAAAACCGCCGGUUCAACCGAAAUCUUAGCGGCUGUUGUCUCCGUCGUUACUUUAACCGAGUAUGACCCAGCUCCUCCAACGUUUGUGACCGUGCGUGUGUACUUGUACGUGUCAGACCCGUCGACGUUAACAGCAAACGACGGAUAGUUUAGAUCAGCGACGGAGU
rnacentral:lncRNA from 1 species